AUUGAACGCUGGCGGCAUGCCUUACACAUGCAAGUCGAAUGGUAACAGGGAGCUUGCUCCGCUGACGAGUGGCGAACGGGUGAGUAAUGUAUCGGAACGUACCUUUUAGUGGGGGAUAACGUAGCGAAGGUUACGCUAAUACCGCAUAUUCUCUGAGGAGGAAAGCAGGGGACCUUCGGGCCUUGCGCUAAUAGAGCGGCUGAUAUCAGAUUAGCUAGUUGGUGAGGUAAAGGCUCACCAAGGCGACGAUCUGUAGCGGGUCUGAGAGGAUGAUCCGCCACACUGGAACUGAGACACGGUCCAGACUCCUACGGGAGGCAGCAGUGGGGAAUUUUGGACAAUGGGGGCAACCCUGAUCCAGCCAUGCCGCGUGAGUGAAGAAGGCCUUCGGGUUGUAAAGCUCUUUCGGCCGGGAAAAAAUCGCAUGGGUUAAUACCCUGUGUGGAUGAUGGUACCGGAAUAAGAAGCACCGGCUAACUACGUGCCAGCCGCCGCGGUAAUAC
rnacentral:rRNA from 1 species